CAUAGAAGUAGGGGGAGUGGGGAUGGGAUAACAGAUUUCUGGAGCAGAAACCUGGAAAUGGGACAUGUGAAAUGUAAAUAAAGAAAAUAUCCAAUAGAAGAAAAGGAAAAAAAUAAAAGUCAGAUUAAUUAGGCAUCACAGUAUAGGUUAAAACAUCAAAAACAAAAAUGUAAUUUGAGAAGUAUGAGAGAGACAAACAAUGAAUUUCUAAUUUCAAUGAUGAUGGACAAGCAAUUAAAAUGGAUGUUUACAAACAAAAAAAAAAAGAAAAAGAAAAAAGAGAGAAAGCUUUGGAGAUAAGAAACUUUGGAGAUUGAGAAGUAAUGAAAUCCUUAGCCUACAGCCUUCAUUCGGCUCCUUUAUUCUAGGAACAGAGGCCGGCUACACCCUUGUGGCUGCCUUGCAGGUGAUCUUCGACUUCAGGCUAGCUCACUGGGCUUCCUCCCCUUCAGAGAAAAUGAAGAGAGAGGAAAAGAUGGCGCUGCAUGGCCGAUGGCGCUGCAUGGCCUGAGGAACCCGUACCCAAUUCUCUUUUUGGUGCGAGUUGGAGAAAUGUCUCCUCAGAGUCACCUGAGCAUUUGUUAGUGUCCAAAAUCAAAUAAAGGCAACUAUAGGACAGUCACCCAGAGAUCCGGGCCCCCUGCAGGAGGUAGGACAGUCUGUCUCCUAGGUUACCAUCUGCUCAUGCUUGUACUUGUGGGGCUGCCUCUGCCAUGGCAACAGAGGAAGAAGGGGCCUGAAAAGAAUGAGGGGAGAGAAAGAGGCAGUACCCCACCUUUCACCUUGGUAUGGCAAGGAUGCGAGUGUUCCCCAACGCUAACAGACACUUUAGGCUACAGGGAGACGAGCUCACUUCCGGUGUGCCCCACUUAAUGAGUAAGGUACACUGGGCAUACUAUUGGAGAUGGGAAAUAAGCCAGAAGGAGAUCUUCAUCUGGAGAUUCGUGAAGUCCUCUGAAGAACUAGCAGUGGAGAACAUGGCUGCUUCAAGGGAAUGUCAAAGAUCAGGGCUCCAUACCCAAGGAUUAAACCCUUGCCAUCAUGAGCGUGUACAUACUCAGGGAGAUGUGGUAGAGACCUAGAGCUGGAAUGAGAAGAGUUCUUCCAUGAAAAUAAAGCAGAAAGCCUGUG